UGUUAAAAAUUUCAUCUAUUUUUAUUAUUAAAAACUGUUAUGGUUAACAAAAUAACUCUAAUUUUUAACCGUAAAAAUAGAUGAAACUUUUAAUA
rnacentral:pre_miRNA from 1 species